GCUGCAUUUCAUCUGGGCAGGCAUGUAGCUGAUGAAAUGCUGGAGCAAUGCAUGGCAAGCAUAUGCCCUCCAGUGUCUUCCUCUGAAACCUUUGGGGCUGACACAAGACCCUUUAGUUUCUGGGAUGACCGCUCUCCUGUAGACCUCUUCCCCUGUUCCUAAUGCAUGCAUGAAAAAGUUUUGUCAGGCUGGUUUCCUGAGCCUCCACCUCAACAUGACACUCACUCUUUUGGGUUUAGCUUAGUGUUAUGUAGCAAAUUUCUCCAGCUGCAGGGAAGCAUCAGAGCACUUUUUUUUUUCUCCUUAAGCCAGGACUGCACAAGGCAAUGGUCAAAUUUGGUUGAAUCCAGCCUAACCAUCCUUUGCUCAGCUCUAUGACUCAGCUCUAUGCCAAGUGCGGGAGACAGAGACGGGUCAGUCUCAGCCCCUAUCCUCAGGAAGCCCGUGGUCAGGGGAACAUUGUAGGGGGAAGUAAUAGAGGGCAGGUCCCUUUAGGGCUCUUGAUGGCUGCUGGUCCCUACGGUGCCUUGAUGUGAAUUAGAAGACGUGUCCUUUCCGGGUGGAUUCAGACCCACACUAGACUGUGCAGCUUUGUGAGUGACACACAGGCUAGGUUUGGCACCCCUUGCCCCAUGGCCAGGUGCCCUGCUGCAUGGCCAUGUGCUGUAGCCUCGAGGGACACACAGGCCAAAAAGGCUGUGUUUCCUUCAGCCUCUUCCUGGAGAGGAAGGCCCAGGUCAUCUUUCCAAGCUUCUGGUCGGCUCCAAACACCGUCUCCCAGCCUCCAAACACAGCCGAGCGAGUGCUGUUCUGCAGAGCCCCUUUCCAUUCUGAAGUCAGCCUGCCCAGGUGAGACCUUGAAGUGAAACUUGGGGUAGGGGAGCCUCACUGGCCCCCAGGCACCAGCCUACAGUAUUGGUGGUUUCUGUACCAAGCAUUUGGGGCCUGUGCUGGCAAAGUCAUCCCUCAUUGGGACUUUGCGGCGCUUCCUGUGGGUGGCACAUGGACACUGGUCUGGGCAGGAAGGAAGAGCAUGCCCCAGGGAAAACCCACCAAGCAGAGGGCCAGCUGGACCUCCUCGGCAUCCCACCCAGGGGAAGAGUUGAGUCCCCAUGAAGAUGAGGACUGAGUUAUUUGGCUGCACCCUCCUCAGCCUCAGAGCUCCGACCCGCUAGAGUGGGUUCACCUGGCUGUUGGUUCUGUGGGAGAGUUCCUGACAAGCUGGUUCCCACGUGGUGCAGUCAAAGGAAUUCUGUCCUGCAAGUCCCCAGUGCUGCCUCUGAAUCCUGGCUGUUACCAAGCACCUGGGGGGCUUGGGCAAGCUACUUGACCUCUUGGGCUCAGUUUCCCUAACUGUAAAAUGGGACUGUAAUCCCUUCCCUGCCUGACACAGGAAUUGUUAUGAGGCCCAGAUGAAAUGAAAGUCAGCGGUCAGGGCUCUGUACAUUGAAAAUGGCUGCACGGGUGUGGCCCUGUCACUGCAGGGAUGACCCAAGACCACACAGGAAGUUUGCUGCAGGAGGAGCCCUCCUCACCAGUCGUCCUCUCUUGCCCUGCUUCUCGCUUAGGCAGAUGUCAACCAGAAUGAGAUACAGCCAGUUUGGCUUUGAUGACCCAGCUGAGAGUAGACACAAUUCAGGAAUAUCAUGCCCAAAAAUAGUGGUCCCAGCAACCGAGACACAGAGGGAAGACAUGGAUGUUGUCAGCAACUGCUGGAUGGGGACAUCUUGGACCCUCCUCAACCUGGUGUCACUCACAUCUUCCAUCUCUCAGACCCCACAAAGGCCAAGAGGCCUUGGCUCUGACCCCAGGUUAAAGAGCGCCUCCAGUUCCCAGGCUCAGGGAGCUGAAACCACCACUGUUCCACUGCAGAAAUCUAAGGGCAAGGAGAAAUAGAAAUUGCCUGUUCCUUCCCUUGAAAGUGUAAGGCCUCUUCCAGGACCAACUGGAGCCACCACAGCUUCUUGGCGACAUUGGGAGGGCUUCGGGCCCAGGGAGAAUCCAAGCCUUUUGCCCUGAGAGCUGAGCCGCAGGGGAUCCAUCCCCCAGUGGUGUCAGCAGCCCAGAGCAGCAGCUUCUCUUCUGCCUGUCACUGGGGAUGGAUGCUCUCCACCCAUCCAGGAGGAAGGGGUGAGGCCCCGGUCUUACACUCUUAUAGGGUCUCAUGGACAUAGGCCUAUACCUGUUCUGAUACAG